UACAGAGGGUGCAAGCGUUGUUCGGAAUUAUUGGGCGUAAAGCGCGUGUAGGCGGCUAGACAAGUCGGGUGUGAAAGCCCUCGGCUCAACCGAGGAAGGGCGCCCGAAACUGUCUUGCUUGAGUCCCGGAGAGGGUGGCGGAAUUCCCCAAGUAGAGGUGAGAUUCGUAGAUAUGGGGAGGAACACCGGUGGCGAAGGCGGCCACCUGGCCGGAUACUGACGCUGAGACGCGAAAGCGUGGGGAGCAAACAG
rnacentral:rRNA from 1 species